GAUGAACGCUGGCGGCGUGCCUAAUACAUGCAAGUCGAGCGAACAGACGAGGAUCUUGCUCCUCUAACGUUAGCGGCGGACGGGUGAGUAACACGUGGAUAACCUACCUAUAAGACUGGGAUAACUUCGGGAAACCGGAGCUAAUACCGGAUAAUAUAUUGAACCGCAUGGUUCAAUAGUGAAAGACGGUUUUGCUGUCACUUAUAGAUGGAUCCGCGCCGCAUUAGCUAGUUGGUAAGGUAACAGCUUACCAAGGCAACGAUGCGUAGCCGACCUGAGAGGGUGAUCGGCCACACUGGAACUGAGACACGGUCCAGACUCCUACGGGAGGCAGCAGUAGGGAAUCUUCCGCAAUGGGCGAAAGCCUGACGGAGCAACGCCGCGUGAGUGAUGAAGGUCUUCGGAUCGUAAAGCUCUGUUAUUAGGGAAGAACAAAUGUGUAAGUAACUAUGCACGUCUUGACGGUACCUAAUCAGAAAGCCACGGCUAACUACGUG
rnacentral:rRNA from 1 species